GACGAACGCUGGCGGCGUGCCUAAUACAUGCAAGUCGAACGAACCGCGACUAAGUGCUUGCACUAAGUCAAGGUGAGUGGCGAACGGGUGAGUAACACGUGGGUAACCUACCUCAUAGUGGGGGAUAACAGUCGGAAACGACUGCUAAUACCGCAUAGGACAUAGGAUCACAUGAUCCAGUGAGGAAAGGUGGCGCAAGCUAUCGCUAAGAGAUGGACCCGCGGUGCAUUAGCUAGUUGGUAGGGUAAAGGCCUACCAAGGCGAUGAUGCAUAGCCGACCUGAGAGGGUGAUCGGCCACAUUGGGACUGAGACACGGCCCAAACUCCUACGGGGGGCAGCAGUAGGGAAUCUUCCGCAAUGGACGCAAGUCUGACGGAGCAACGCCGCGUGAGUGAAGAAGGUCUUCGGAUCGUAAAGCUCUGUUGUUAGAGAAGAACAGCGCAUAGAGUAACUGCUAUGCGUGUGACGGUAUCUAACCAGAAAGCCACGGCUAACUACGUG
rnacentral:rRNA from 1 species